AGCGCACCCUUGUCCUUAGUUGCCANCACGUAAUGGUGGGAACUCUAAGGAGACUGCCGGUGACAAACCGGAGGAAGGUGGGGAUGACGUCAAGUCAUCAUGGCCCUUACGGCCAGGGCUACACACGUACUACAAUGGUCGGUACAGAGGGUUGCAAUACCGCGAGGUGGAGCCAAUCCCAGAAAGCCGAUCCCAGUCCGGAUCGGAGUCUGCAACUCGACUCCGUGAAGUCGGAAUCGCUAGUAAUCGCGGAUCAGCUAUGCCGCGGUGAAUACGUUCCCGGGCCUUGUACACACCGCCCGU
rnacentral:rRNA from 1 species